GAUCAAACCAGCAGCUGGAACUAGAAUCACGAUCCAGACUCCUAUCGGAAUGGCAGCAAUGAGGAAUUUUGCACAAUCGGGGAAACCCCUGAACGCAGCAAUCGCCGCGUAAGUGAUSAAUGGCUUUCGGGUCGUAAAGCUCUAGAUCGAGUGGGAAGAAGAUUGUGCAAGCUUAAGUGGGCGCUGUAUUAUAGGCCGGUACCCAACUAAAGGAAGACACUCUUU
rnacentral:rRNA from 1 species